ensembl:lncRNA
CAGGGGACGGGCGGCACUGACAAGGCGGCGGCGGCGGGGCCAGGCCCGGGCCCGGCACCUGCGGUCCCCGCGCCCUGCCCACUUCCUGCUUUGGCGAGCCACCGCCCUUCUCCCAGCACCGGCACGGCACUGGCACAGCCCCAUCUCCCUGUGGCAGCAGCGGGACUGCGCCCGGAACCCCGGAGGGACCCCUAUCACGAACCAGCGGAAGCAGGAGUGGCAGUGCCGGGCUCAACCCCAGAGCCCAUCCUGGAGCAGCUCCUCCCGCCUGCGGCGAUCCCAGUCCUCAUCCCAGCUCAAAUCCCGCAUCCUGCCCGCCGAAGGGGAAGCGGCUCCGCCCGGGACCCCCGGGGGACACCGUCGGGACCCGGACGCGGCUCUCCGGGGCCGGAUCCUGGGGUCGGCCCCAUCUCAGCACCUCGGGCUCCGCACAGUGCUCCGAGCAACGAUCCGGCCGCACCCUGGGCUGAGAUACACUGCGCUAAGAGGAGCAGCCGCGGACCCGCCGGAAUUUCUGGGUGGGGCGGGGCCGGCUCAGUGGCAUUUAUGGCUGAGCAGUUCAGAACAAGGCUUGAGCAGACAGGACUGGAGAAUCAACACCAAGCAACAACCCCUGUGCUUGGCAGGGGCCUGGAGCAUCCCAGUCUAGACUCUGGGCUUCAAGUACUUGCUUCUACUGCAGUUAAUCUGGCAUGGGAACUGGUAAAUCACAAACCAGACAAGGAGACACUUCCUGAAACAAAUAAAAUCCAGCUGCAGCUAAGCCCAUGGCCAUGUUUAAAAACCCUUCAGCAUAAAAACCCUUGGAAAAGCAAAGGUGAUGCCUGGUGACCUGGAGCUCCAGGGGACUGAGGGGAAUGUGGGCAACAAGCCAGCAAACAGCUUUUACUGCUUCUCACUGCAGCAAUGGCAGCUCCAUUGGAAUUUCACACUCAGCAUCUCUUCCAUGCUCAACAAGCCAACAAAAGGCACUCCAAAAUUCAGACUUUUCUAGUGCUGAGCUUUACAUGAUCCUUUGGGCAGAAGGAAUCUUCGAGACUGUCCCACACCUUAACAUCCCACUUGCUCUUUUUGGCACAGUGGACCAGUUCACUAUCCCUUCCUUCUGAAAGGAUCUUUCUGAAGCCAGAACAUACCCAGCUUUGCUUUCCCCUUAAAUACUCUUUUCCCUGCACAAGUAAGACUGUUCCAGUGCUUGGCAAGUAACAGCUGAAGAAUCCAAGCCAAGAGCCUGCCUGGGAUGAAGGAAUGUGCAUGCCCACAGGAAGAGCAUCCCAAACCUCUCACUGCUGACCGUUCGCUUCUAACCAUGGCUCCAAUGGCACCAGAACUGUCCCUGCAGGCAGAAACGCAGCCUUGGGAACACCAUGAGCUGUCUCCAAUGUACCACUGGGCUCGGAGAAGCAGUGAACAAACCAGCAGCUCACAGGGAAAUCAGGGGCACCUCCUGAGCCAACAGCAGCUGGGAGAAAGGCAUGGACGCAGCAUCUCACCAAAACUAUGGCAAAAGAAAUGCCAACAACUCAAGAAUCACUGCAGUGUUGAUUUACUGAAACAAAAGUGUUAUAAAUGCAAAGGCAAAAUCGAGGUUAAAUAAAAAGAGUAAUUUAUUAUAACA